CCUCAUGUUGCCCCAGAUGAAGCCGAACUCACAGCUCUCAAGUUGUACUUUUUAGUCGACAGUUAUGGCGACUGACGAAGCGACCCAGAGUGGACUUCCUUCCUUCAACUGGGCUCCACGAGGAGCCAGAGCUGUGGUACCAGCAGCAGCCCCUUGAGCCCAUCCGCCUCCUUGGGGAGUGUGGACGAAUUUGGGCUGUGUGAGGACUCCGUGGGCGGCUUGCCAGCCAGGAAGCAUCUCACCAGGGCCCGACGCUGCUGCCCCCCCCAACCUCUGCUGGCCUUCCAGCCUGCAGAACUGUGAGAAACACAUUUCUGUUGUGCCUGCCUUGUGGAGUGUUCAUUUAAUUCCCAACCUCUUAGGAACUCUUACCUCCGAUCAUCCCUGACUGCCAACAGUCCCAAAAGGAAGAAAGCACACUUUCCUGUUGCUCCUGCGCAAGCCUGGGAUCCACUGAUGGUGCCCACGGUGUGUGCGUCAUGCCCAUCCCAUGACCAGCCCCUGGGGGAUCCGCUGCUGGGCCUGAGAACAUCCCGUCCUGGCAUGGGCGAGCUGCGCUGGAGCCGCACUGACUGCAAAUGAGGAGGAGGGUUUCAUAAAGGAAACUCUGCAUUCUUUUAUGAGAUGAAACUGGGAAUGGCUUCCGAGUAGCCAAAGUGGAAACCAGAAGACCACCUCAGGCACUUAAACGAGUUCUAAUGCUUCUUCAUGAACGUCCUUG
ensembl:lncRNA